rnacentral:rRNA from 1 species
GACAGAGUCGCCGCGGUAAUACAGAGGGUGCGAGCGUUAAUCGGAUUUACUGGGCGUAAAGCGUGCGUAGGCGGCUUUUUAAGUCGGAUGUGAAAUCCCUGAGCUUAACUUAGGAAUUGCAUUCGAUACUGGGAAGCUAGAGUAUGGGAGAGGAUGGUAGAAUUCCAGGUGUAGCGGUGAAAUGCGUAGAGAUCUGGAGGAAUACCGAUGGCGAAGGCAGCCAUCUGGCCUAAUACUGACGCUGAGGUACGAAAGCAUGGGGAGCAAACAGGAUUAGAUACCCCCGUAGUCCCUGUCUCUUAUACA